ACCUUAGCACACUUAAUCUCUUUGGCCUAACCAUCAUCUAAAAUACUAUAGCCAGCUUAAGAGGUUUAGUCUUAUUAUAUUUCAUAUCUAUGAAUAUUCUAAAUCCUAAGGUGAGUCUUAGUCGAUUUUGUGGAGAGCUGCGCUCCACCCACAACUAUUCUCACCCGUGCAGCCGCACUCUGCCCGAUGUAUGACUCUGACUCAGCUGAGAUUCAUCUCACACCUUCGAGUGGCGAUUGACUCUGAUACCAACUAUGGCACCGUGCUUCUCAGGGGAUUACUCAUCCUAGAAUUAUUCUAGGCCUUAAUACACUUAACCCUUUUAACCGCUUAUGCCUAACUAUUGUUAAAUAUAUUAUAGUCUGAUUAAUUAAGAGACUUAGCCCUAUUAUAUCUCAUAUAUAAAACUAAAUUUUAUGAUGCCACAGUAUAUUUGAAAUAUGAUAAAGAGAAAUGAUUGUUAUGGGUUCAAAAAUUCAGGUUCGAAUUUGGUUUUCAAUAAAAGGUUCUAAAACUCAUCGGAUUCGAUUCCAGAUAUGAAUUCAGAUUUUGAUUUUGGUUGCCAGAUACGGAUUCAAAGUUUUAAAAAUUUGCUCCGCAUGCGACCGGUUGACAUUCCUGUCCUCAAAAAUAUAUAAAGUUAAAAGUGUCAAAGUACUA
rnacentral:lncRNA from 1 species